rnacentral:rRNA from 1 species
GAUGAACGCUGGCGGCGUGCCUAAUACAUGCAAGUCGAACGCAUUGUGGUUGAAAUGAUAUGAAGAACUUGUUCAGAUUUGAUUUUCAACAUUGCAAUGAGUGGCGAACGGGUGAGUAACACGUGGGAAACCUACCUCUUAGCAGGGGAUAACAUUUGGAAACAAAUGCUAAUACCGUAUAAUAAUUAAAACCGCAUGGUUUUAGUUUAAAAGAUGGUCUUGCUAUCACUAAGAGAUGGUCCCGCGGUGUAUUAGUUAGUUGGUGAGGUAAUGGCUCACCAAGCAAUGAUACAUAGCCGAGUUGAGGGACUGACCGGCCACAAUGGGACUGAGACACGGCCCAUACUCCUACGGGAGGCAGCAGUAGGGAAUCUUCCACAAUGGACGAAAGUCUGAUGGAGCAACGCCGCGUGUGUGAUGAAGGGUUUCGGCUCGUAAAACACUGUUGUAAGAGAAGAAUGACAUUGAGAGUAACUGUUCAAUGUGU